CCUACGGGUGGCUGCAGUGGGGAAUAUUGCACAAUGGGGGGAACCCUGAUGCAGCGACGCCGCGUGAGUGAAGAAGUAUUUCGGUAUGUAAAGCUCUAUCAGCAGGGAAGAAAAUGACCGUAACUGACCAAGAAGCCCCUGCCAACGACGGGCCAGCAACCGCGGUAAUACGUAGGGGGCAAGCGUUAUCCGGAUGUACUGGGUGUAAAGGGAGCGUAGACGGUAGAGCAAGUCAGAAGUGAAAGCCCGCGGCCCAACUGCGGGACUGCUUUGGAAACUGGCCGGCUAGAGUGCUGGAGAGGUAAGCGGAAUUCCAAGUGUAGCGGUGAAAUGCGUAGAUAUUAGGAGGAACACCAGUGGCGAAGGCGACUUACUGGAAAGUAACGGACGUUGAGGAUCGAAAGCGUGGGGAGCAAACAGGAUUAGAUACCCGUGUAGUC
rnacentral:rRNA from 1 species